AUUGAACGCUGGCGGCAUGCUUUACACAUGCAAGUCGAACGGCAGCGGGGGCUUCGGCCUGCCGGCGAGUGGCGAACGGGUGAGUAAUGCAUCGGAACGUGCCCAUGUCGUGGGGGAUAACGUAGCGAAAGCUACGCUAAUACCGCAUACGCCCUGAGGGGGAAAGCGGGGGAUUCUUCGGAACCUCGCGCGAUUGGAGCGGCCGAUGUCGGAUUAGCUAGUAGGUGAGGUAAAGGCUCACCUAGGCGACGAUCCGUAGCGGGUCUGAGAGGAUGAUCCGCCACACUGGGACUGAGACACGGCCCAGACUCCUACGGGAGGCAGCAGUGGGGAAUUUUGGACAAUGGGCGCAAGCCUGAUCCAGCCAUGCCGCGUGAGUG
rnacentral:rRNA from 1 species